GUCCAAUCGCGUCCCGCAAACCCUAGCCGCCGCUGGCCUCCCCCUACCCGUGCCGCAGACGCACACCAUCCUCUUCUCCUCCCUCCCGUCAGCGACCUGCCUCCACUCCGCGAGGCAGAUCGAUCGAGACCCAUGGCUGGGGUCGCUACUGUGCCUCGCCGCGCAGCGCAUCGGGUAUCCACCUCCCAUCCCCCACCUUCCUCCUUCAAAUUUUGGCAGCAACGACCGUGAGUGUGGCUGCUCCUCGUCCGUGCUCCGGCAGACGUUCCCUACCCCCCCCCCCCCCCCUCCGCUGACGGUGGCCAGAACGAGGUGGGUUCAACCGGCAGAGCCCCGGGUGAGAUCGCGUGCGAGUGGACGGAGCAGGCGCUCGUGGUCGUGGUGAACCAUGGGCGCAGUCGGAGCAGAGAGUCGGGGCGUAGGAGAUGAGGAGAACGGCGUAGGCUUCAUGAUGGAAGGAGAUACGGCGGCGGACAAGGAGGAGGUCGGGGGUUACACGGAGGUACAGGUGGAUGUCAGCAACCUGCCCCCUACGACAUCGAUGGUACUUUGACGUUAGAAGGGAUGCUUGCCCCUUUGGCGGAUGAUGUUUUUACAAGCAUGCCUACACCGAUGGGCAUUUGGAGGAGCCGGCAACGGUGGCAGUGCUUCAUUUUCAUGCCGACAAUGGAAGUAUGGACCAGCAAGAAAUAUCGAGUUGAAAAUUCCGUUCGAACAUGCAGAUUGGCAUACUUGCUGAGAAGGUUACAACUGUAGAAGGAAGCAGUUGAGAAGAGAAGCACUUAGGGGAUGAUGUCGAUCUUGCACAUUCAGCUUUAUGUAAAUGCUUCUUCGUGUACCAUGUAUGGCAGUUUGCUAAAAAAGAAAAAGAAAACAACGGAGCAAAUUAAAAUAUAAUAUGUUUAUCAAAAAGGCAGAAGGCCCCCAGCUAGAUUGACGAGAAAGUUUAUUUUGCACAUGGUCUUUUCUGGUUUUGUCCUUGUAGCAAGAAGUACAUUUUUAUAACAAUAUCAACUUUGCUCUGGUGUGUGCAUUGAUUUCAUUCAGAUACAGACCUUUUGGAAAUUGUGGUUUUCUUUUGUAUUUUUGUCCUAAUAUGGAAUGUUCUAUUGCUGGAUUGAAUUACUCUCUCAGCAUUUUUAUUUUGACAUAUUAUAAUGCUCAGUUUGUUUACAGGCUGCUGAAUACUGUCGGAGGAAGGAAUCAGUGCUGAGGUGAUCAACAUUCGAUCAGUUAGGCCACUGGAUAGAGCUGCGAUAAAAGCAUAUGUUACGAAAAUAAAUAGGUUGGUGAUUCUUGAAGAAGGCUCCCCCCAACAUCGUGUUGGUGCUGAGAUAUGGUUUUCUCUCUCUCUCUCUCUCUCUCUCUCUCUCUCUCUCCACACACAUCCCAACCCUCUUCCAAUUAUUCAUUCAAAUUAUUGUACAGAAUCUACAAUUAUAAGAAAGAAGAAUUUGAUAAAUUAGAGAGAGAUAUGCUUUCAUAAAUUGCUCACCCCUGAAGGUUACAAAUUCAAGUGCUGGGUUCGAAGGAUGAAGCAAAUCCCAAGUCACAUGUUAAUAUAUCUUGAUGCACAUUGUAUUUACUUUGCUUCAGGUUCGCAUGCAGUGACGGAGAUUUCAUCGGCUCGCCUCCAUUUUCUUGGUGAACCCACAUUUCCCUCUAAGGUACAUUCUGAAGGAGAAGAUUGCUGGUUGAGAAGGCCAUUUAUCUGAUAUUAGUUUAUUGAAGAAAUUGCCCAUGAUGUAUUUUCAGUACAUUAGGAUUUUUGUAGUCGCAUGGUUCUGAUAGGAAGAUACCGUUUCUACCAGGUCAACAAUCUCCCCUUCAAUAAUAUUUGAUUUACAUUUUGUAUGCCAUUCAUCGAAUCAAUGUGGAUUACAAUGACCACUCGUAUGUUUUGAUUGCAGUACUUCUCUAUGCUAUUUCACUAUUUUGGACUCAUGUUCUUUUCAUUGUGAUGUAGUAAUAAGUGAAAUAAAUUGAGUCUAAUUCUUUGUGUGGACAUAGGCGUUUCAAAGAAAUAUAUGGCUUGUUUUAUUUUUGGCACUUUCUUUCCGGCCACUGGAUAUGCACUUAAGUUCCCCAACCAGAAGCAUCUCCCUGUCCAUGUAACCAAUAAUAUUUUGGAAGUAGAAUGUACUCAGGAUCAUAAUGGAAAAUUUUGUUUUUCUGAAAACCAUGUCCCACUGUACAUGGCACGAGAGUUUGAGCAGAAACCUGGGGUUAGCUCCUUGCCUACUCCAGGAAUUGUGCACUCGAACUAUUUGAGCAGGGUUUUUUCUGUCUUUUGGAUAGCAUCUUGCAGCCAACAUUUCUGAAUUCCAGCAUUGGUAUCAUUAAGCAUUUUAGUUCUACCCCAUAUGGAUAUUAGUUAACUUUAUGUUCUUAUGACGUAAGUACAUGCGAAUUGUUCCGUUCCUUCUGGAAUCAAAUCUUUUUGGAUGUCCGAAAGCACUUCUGGUGGAUCAGAAAAUUGUGUUUUUCUCAGCAUCUUAGUUUUUCUCUAUGGAAGUAUUUAAAACAGUCAUCAUUCUUUCAAGAAUGUUACCAAUACAACACUGUUUUUGUGUUCCGAAUUAUGCGUAAAUGCCCAAGGGCAGUGGACCAAAGUCAACAACAUAAGUUGUUUGGCAAAUGUGUCUUAGUUCCCUUUCAGUCUCUUUUGUAACAUCAUCUCUUUUAAAAAAGAUCUUUUCUAUAUCAGUGCACUGUAAAUAUAGAAAUGUUGGUUUAAUCGAGUGUGAGAUUGUCGGUUACCAUGAAGGAAAUCACUGUAAGAUUUGAGAGAUGCAAGGCUAACGUAAAAGCAGUAAGAGUCUUUGAGAUGCCAAAACUUCUCUCAUACAUGUAUUUUGUGUACAUGUAAAUCUUGAUCUUCCAGCAACAUUGACAGCAGGAUAAUUCUCUUUCUUUUAGUUGACCACAACAUGUGAUCAGGGCCCAUUUGGAAUGCAACUAAUGUCAAGUGCACCAUCAUCUUAAGCAUUAUUUACUCAUGUUGUCACUGAUUGCAUAUACAAUACCAUCAGAAGCAUCCAUUAAAAAUGUGUCCUUAGAAGCAUCCAUUCAAAAAAGUGUUGAAGAACUAUAGAAGGCUGGGUGUUGGCUGAUGUUGUUUCGGUUACCAUUCCUUGUGAUUCUAAGUUAUUUGCAACAUAGUAAAUACUUAGUAUACCAGUCAUAUUUUCUUGUCAACAUGCACCUAUUUGGAGGCUUAUCCGGUAUUAUUGCAAUCUGGUAGAACUGUGAUACUACUAAGAAUUGAAUAUUUUUAGUCGGAAUACUAUUUUAAUGAUCAAUCACAAUGUUGGACGCGACCACCUACUUAUUCCUGAGACUUUAAGUCUUUGGUGGCUUAAGCACAAUAUGCCCGGCAUAUGUUCUACAUCUGCGGCAUGUAAUGAUCCUACUGGCAUUUCAAGAGGUCUUGUAAAUACAACACUCUUCCAAAGUAUUUCCAAGUCUGGACGGUUAUUGAGCCUGCAUUGAUGAAAUAGUUGACAAAGAAGGAACUGAAAUGAGGUUACUGAGCCUGCAUUGAAGAAUUUUGGUUGAUGAGCUGAUAUCUGACCAAAAACUCAAGAACUAGAAGCAAGCCUGACAUCCUUUUUCUAUAAUCGAUAAAUCUGAACCUGCUCAGACCACGGGGAGGAUUUCUCUGGUGGACUAUCGCUGGCAAGGUUGGCAUGGGAGUAGGCCCGUACCAUGGGUUCGUGUGGCUGGAGGACCGUGGCCAGUGCUGCGAUUGCCUGGUGUCCAUGUGGGGCAUAGCUUGGCAUUAGGUGAUAUCCUUCUAUGAUAACCUAGCUGUACACAAUUUCUUCAAAGAAAAUUAAGAUUGAUAUCAAAGUUGAGAUUUGCAAUGUAUUUAAAUUAGUUCUUAAAUUGCUCCCAAAGCUACUGAAAUUUCCCUUAUUAUAUUUUUCUGUAGAUACUGAUUGUUCUAAAUUAAACCCACUACUUAAAUUCCAUACAAAUGAGAGGCUCAAGGAAGCAACAAGUAGGAUGAAGGAGUUAGCGGGCAGAAGCAUCACAGAAAAACAAGAAUAUGUUUGCUCCCCAUGCUUUGCAUUGAUGUAUAGGUUCGGAAGUUUAAAAGCUUCAUGCGCUCCCCAUGCUUUGUAUUGAUGUAUUGGUACGGAAUUUAGAAGCUUCAUGCUUUGUAUCUCAGUAUGUUCACAGUGGCUUCAAUCUACAAUUUAAAAAGGUGAAUAUUGGCUGGAUAAUGACACAAGUGAUGCGGCUCCAGUCAUGUUUCUUAAGCUACCGUGGUUAUAUCAUCACUAGGCCAUAUAGUUUACCACUAACCUUCUUAAGUACUUCCACUUAACCAUCAUGAUUGCCGACUAAUUUUUGUGUUCAUGGUUAUAUUUCAGAGAACCGGUUCAGAUAAAUGCGAACACUGGUUGGGGGUUCUAAGAAGGAUGACCCAAAAUGGGAGCAUGACAGACACCAUGGUCCAGGAAAUAAGGGGGAAUCCCGUGGUGUCUACUAUGCUUUCAGAAAUCCUAUGCAGUCAGGGAGAUUCCUUUAGAUUUUUGCAUGAUGAGCAGAUAGAUGUAAAGGGUCGUGGUGUCUACUAUGCUUUUCAGAAAGGAUUUACUAUAUUUUUGCAGCAGGCUACAUGCUUCUCUGAAUGACCAUUUAAGGAGUGAACAUGAACUGCUAAUGUAUAUGUUCCAUGCUCCAUGGGGAGGGAACAAGGAUUGAUUUUUGCGGGGAGUAGGGAGAGUAUGGUGAGUUACUUCUAUAGUGCUAUGGUUCACAAACUGUAAGUUGGUGAUCUAUGAAAUAUCUUUGUUGUUGCUUUAAGGGGCUUCUAGAACUACUUGAUUGUGAAACAAGUCACUAGGUACUGCUCAGAUGAAUUAUAUGGAUGGUACCACCGUCCAACCUGUAGAAACUCCUAUCCCUGAAUUUCUAUUUAUUGGAACCAUUAGAUUUAUUAGUAUUUUAUAGUCAUUAUGUUUCUACAGAGGCUAUGUGAAGCAAAGAAACUCCUAUCCCUUUUAAAUUUUAAUACAUGUAAAGUACUACAUGUC